rnacentral:tRNA from 1 species
GCAGUCGUGGUCCAGUGGUUAAGGCGAUGGACUCUUCCCGCACAGGUUCGAAUCCUGUCGAUUGCG